UUCGGGUCGGGCUCGGGCAGAACGUGCACGGGCUCGGGCUGGGUCGGGUCGGAUUUUUUGGGCCCGAUCUAACCUCUACUACCCAUUAAUCAUAAAACAUAAAACAAACAAAAACAAUUACACAAAUAGCGCUAUUUAACAUUUUCCCACAUUAUGACAAAACAGGUGAUCACUAUUUUUUUACACAAACAUUAAUUAUUUUCUUUUUACAGGGAAACAGGAACCCCCGGACCCUCUCCCUCCCUGCAGGUGGAUCCGUCCUACCAGAAGAAGAAGCCCCGGUCCCCUUGCCUCCAUUUUGCCCCUCAGACCCUCCACACAGCAGGACUAAGAGUUUUGUGCAUGUCCUCAGAUGAGAGACAGUCCUCUUCUGAAACCUCAUUCUGCUCAGAAGAUUCAGCUUCAUCAGGCUCAACUAUAAUUCUGGAAUCUUCAAAGGCAGGAAGACGGAAAUUGAUUGAUGGACCAGUUGAUCCCGCUACAGCUAGAGAUAUGGUCAAAGUAGCACUUCACUCAAAGCCAGGAGGUGACCAGAUAUUUCAGGAGUAUCACAAAACAAGUUGCCUUUCUGAUGGCACUAGAAGAAAGAUUGUCAACAUACUUGUAGCAGAUAUGGUGGCAGGCCAACAAAAGAUUUUUACUUCAUUUUACAUUGGUCAACACUUUUAUUAAUUUUAUUUAAUUAAUUAUCAUUUUUUUUUUUCAAUUAAGGAGGAUCCCACCUUUAAAUGUCCGCAUUUCAUAUGCCCUUGGGAUAAUAACACUUUUCCCUCAUUUGAAGGAUUCAGAUUCAGUAAAUGGCUACGUAAGUAUAUUAGUGAACAAAUAUGCACGUGUGGUUAGUACAUGGUGAAGUCCUUUCAAGCUUUAAAAAAAAAAAAAACUUUAUUUAACAGGAGCACUUCUAUGAUCCUCAAAGUGGGUCUGGUUACCUGGCCUGGAGACUGAAAACAGUUCAGCGCAACUCAGCAAGUGAGGGGAAGAGUGGAAGUACAUCCAGUUACAAAGGAGGCCCGAAGACCAAUAGUGAGAUACCUGUGUGUGGAGAGCAGCUAUCUGGUAAUGAAUGCAAAGAGGCCAUGUCCCUGAUGAACCACUCAGCUGACAAAACACUGGUUAAGGAGA
rnacentral:lncRNA from 1 species